CUUUCAAUUUCCGUAAGACAUUUUACUGGCUUUCCUCUCUAUCGAUUUUUCCGGUCCCUCAUUCUUCAUUCCUUCAUUUCUGUUAGAAAACUUCCCUGAGAUUCUCAUCUUUUUCCAGUAAUCCCCCACUCUCCUCCUUCAUUCCUUCAUUCCUCUCUGUUGAUUAUCGCCAUGGUUUUUUGUGGGCUCGAACUCGUAUUGGAACCUAGACGAACGGAUAUCGCAGCUGCUGCAGUGCAAGCCUUUAUCAGAGCAGUAGGUAACGGAUCUGUUUCGAAUUUCUUCAUUUGCGGUUUGAUCCAUUUUUUGUUUAGUA
rnacentral:lncRNA from 1 species